AGCGAACGUUAGCGGCGGGCCUAACACAUGCAAGUCGAACGGGCUGUAGCAAUACAGUCAGUGGCGCACGGGUGAGUAACGCGUAGAUAAUCUACCUUCCGGCGGGGGAUAACAUUCCGAAAGGAAUGCUAAUACCGCAUAAGACCACGGGGUCCUCGGGCCCUGAGGGAAAAGGUGGCCUCUCCUUGGAAGCCAUCACCGGAAGAUGAGUCUGCGUCCCAUCAGCUAGUUGGUAAGGUAAUGGCUUACCAAGGCGAAGACGGGUAGCUGGUCUGAGAGGAUGAUCAGCCACACUGGUACUGGAACACGGACCAGACUCCUACGGGAGGCAGCAGUGGGGAAUAUUGGGCAAUGGGCGAAAGCCUGACCCAGCCACGCCGCGUGAGUGAUGAAGGCCU
rnacentral:rRNA from 1 species